rnacentral:rRNA from 1 species
UUUCCGGUUGAUCCUGCGGACUGACUGCUAUCGGAUUGAUACUAAGCCAUGCGAGUCUUGUAGCAAUACAAGGCAGACGGCUCAGUAACACGUAGUCAAUCUAACCUAUGGACGAGGAUAACCUCGGGAAACUGAGAAUAAUACUCGAUAGACCAUAAUGCCUGGAACGGUUUAUGGUUCAAAUGAAUUUCGCCAUAGGGUGGGACUGCGGUCUAUCAGCUUGUUGGUGAGGUAAUGGCCCACCAAGGCUAUAACAGAUACGGGCUCUGAGAGGAGAAGCCCGGAGAUGGGUACUGAGACACGGACCCAGGCCCUAUGGGGCGCAGCAGGCGAGAAAACUUUGCAAUGUGCGAAAGCACGACAAGGUUAAUCCGAGUGGUUCCUGCUAAAGGAACCUUUUGUUAGUUGUAACACCACUGAUGAAUAAGGGGUGGGCAAGUUCUGGUGUCAGCCGCCGCGGUAAAACCAGCACCUCAAGUGGUCAGGAGGAUUAUUGGGCCUAAAGCAUCCGUAGCCGGCUCUGUAAGUUUUCGGUUAAAUCUAUAUGCUCAACAUAUGGGCUGCCGGGAAUACUGCAAAGCUAGGAAGUGGGAGAGGUAGACGGUACUCCGUAGGAAGGGGUAAAAUCCUUUGAUCUAUGGAUGACCACCUGUGGCGAAGGCGGUCUACCAGAACACGUUCGACGGUGAGGGAUGAAAGCUGGGGGAGCAAACCGGAUUAGAUACCCGGGUAGUCCCAGCUGUAAACUAUGCAAACUCAGUGAUGCAUUGGCUUGUGGCCAGUGCAGUGCCGCAGGGAAGCCGUUAAGUUUGCCGCCUGGGAAGUACGUACGCAAGUAUGAAACUUAAAGGAAUUGGCGGGGGAGCACCACAAGGGGUGAAGCCUGCGGUUCAAUUGGAUUCAACGCCGGG